rnacentral:lncRNA from 1 species
GUCGCCUCGUGCAGCGCUGCGUCGGCUGGGAGCUAGGUCCGCAGCUCCGCCCGGAUCUUCCCGCUUUCCCGGAUUUUCAAAGGCCCAAAGUGGCCGCUGCCCUCUCAGUUUCCUGCUCUGGGGGCUCUUCUCCAAGAACUCGCCCACGCAAACUCUCAGCAGCCUCUGAAAAGGAGACUGAGGUGCAGUAAAAGGAAGUGGUUUUCAAAGGACACAUCGGUUAUGAGAGGUAAGCCUAGGUAAUAACUGAUUUCACUGAACGGGACUAUGCCAUGUGCAUGAAAGUCACUCUACUUUCCUCAUAACAACCCCAAAUGCAUGCUUUUAUCCUGGUCUUAACAGGUGAGGAUUCUGGCUCAUUGAGGCCAGGGCCACAUGAUUAAUUGCAUCUGCUAGAAGUCCUAGUUUGGGGUUGCCAGAGAAAGAAAUUUUCCUCUAUCCUUGUAGGUUUUUCUGGCUGGUCUAAGAAUUGAAUUGACAUGUUGAUUCAUGUUAAGACAUGUUAAUGGGAGAAAAUCAAAUAAUGUUUAAUAACUUGUAUACAUAGGAGAAACCUAGAAAAACAGUCUCUCCGUAAAACCGUCUUCAGCUAAAGACAAAAGAAGGAGGUUAGGGAUAGUGGUUUGGGUCUUCAACGAGGAGGAAGGCAAUUCACAUAGAGAUGGAAAAGCAAAUUUUGGUAAACAGAUGUUUGUUGAGUCAAGCAGAGAUAGUGGGACACGAAGAGGAAUUAAAAACAAACAAAAGAAGACCUUAGGUACCUCCCAGGCUACCACACCUAGUUCAUACUGCAGUUAUCUAUGAUGAUAACUCUUUUCCUGGAAGAGGUCUUCUAACUAUUCUUUAAGCAGCUAAGGGGAACAUCACAGUUUCUGCCUGAGUCUUUUGGACUAUGAUUGUUUUCAGCUCAAAAUAAUUCUCAUGCCAAAGAGACAUUUUGGGGUGGCAAGUUUUGCUCCUCUACAGGGUCAUUUUUCUUCUACACCAUGAUCGUUCCCCUUCGGUUCCAGCAGAUACCCGAAAACCUAACUACGGACUCUUUGGGAAUGUGAGAUAUACUGGGAUCUGGUUACUCGGCACCUGUGUGAAUCAUAGUAUACAAAGGAAUAAUAAUAUUAAGACCUACCAAUCUUACCUUUACAGAGUAUUGAAGAGCAAAUGAGGUAAUAAAUAUGGAAAUACUUUGUAAAGUGUUAGGUACUGAACACAUGCGAGACAUGGCUUCCAGAGCGUCCUCAGUGUGUACCUCAGGAAUAGAAUAAAUGAAAUAUAGUGGUUGCCUCAGGAAAUAUGGCAGGAGAUCUCAUCUUGGCUAGACUUGAAUUAAUGUGGAUUCGCUGCCUGAUCUUUAUAUAUGUGUAUAUAUAUAUGUUUGUAUUUGAUUUUGGUUUGUUUCCUCUUAUUAUCAUGCUAUCAGUAGUAGUAAUAGCAAUAAUAGAGAAGUGGCUGGAGCUCCAGCAGCCAUCUUGGGCCAUGAAAGAGUUUCCGAAAUGAAAACCACAGAGAAAUACCCAAGGUGCAUGGGCUCGAGUUCCUAACACCAGGAAGCACCAAACCAACACCCACUGCCCACUUCCACAUCUAAGAAAGAAAUAGCGGUCUUGUGCAACACACUAAUUUUGUGUUUUCUGUCCCGUGGGGCCAAACCUCAUUAUUUCUGAUACAUAUACGUUACCUCAUGGAAAUCCUACAGUACUUCUAUAAGGGGAUAGAUACAGAAACAGACCCAGAGAGUAUAAAUGACUUGUUCAAAGUCGGCCAAGUGACAGAGACGUGAUGCUUUUGCUGAUCCUCAUUCUCUUUUUUAGUUCUACCCGCUGCCUAUUGUGAAUGAACGACUCUAUUUUUCUUCCAUGUACUUCUUUUCCAUUCAUUUAUUCUAGGAGCUGACAAACUUUUUGUAUUAGAACCAAAUAGUAAAUAUUUUAGACUUUGUGAGUCAUACAGUUUCUGUUGCACCUAUUCACCUCUGCCUUGAUAGGGCAAGAACAGCCAUAGAUAAAAGGAAAUGAGUGGUUGUGACUGUGUUUCACACAGCUUUACAAAAGCAGUGGCCCCUGUAGCCCAGUGGGCCUUGGCUGGCCAUCCCGUAAUUUAUUAGAUUCUGACAUUCCAUCACAAAGGUUCAUGGCAAAUACAGUACAGAAGAUGGGGGGUGGGCGUUGUGACAUUGCAGGCACCCUCACCCUGUUGAUCAAUACAAUAUAAAGGCCAGUGUGUGACAGUGAGGUCCAGAAGAAAGAAAGAUCCCUAACUGGUAAUCACGAGAUCCGGGCUGUGAGUUCAUGUCUGCCUGACUCAAACCAGAUCUAUAUCCUGAACCAAUCCCUCAUGCCUCGGUUUUCCUAGAUAUCGGGAGCAAAUAAUGCAAAUGUUAUCCAUACCUCCAUUUUCCAUGGCUACAGGGAGACUAAAAUGAUAUGGUAUGCAUAAUUGUAUUUUGAGGAGUUCCCAUCAUGGUUCAGUGGCAGAUGAAUCUGACUAGUAUCCAUGAGGACUUGGGUUUGAUCCCUGACCUCACUCAGUGGGUUAAGGAUCGGGCAUUGCCAUGAGCUGUGGUGUGGGUCGCAGAUGUGGCUCGAUCUGGUGUUGCUGUGGCUGUGGUAUAAGCCAGCGGCUACAGCUCUCAUUUGACCCCUAGCCUGGGAACCUCCAGUGCCAUAAGUGAACACACACACACACACCCAAAAAGACAAAACACCUAUAUUUUGAAAGCUAUAAAUGUUAUCCAACUGUGACUACACUGUUUCACCUUAGGCAGGGCCAGAUAGCCUCCUUUGUAUCCUUCAGUUCCCUCUCCUUACCUCUAUCGUGGAACUCCAAGAACAUAUCAAAUGCCUAGUAGUUUUAUUGCAUCUGUUUAUCCCUGCUCCUCCUCCCCAACUCACCAUAAAGUGUUAUUGUGUGGCAUUGGAUUCAAAGACUCAUUUAUUGGAAAAUCUAGACGUCCACUCAGGGUUAUUGCCAGGCAGCAUGGGGAUCACGCAGAGUCAUUGUCCAGUAGACAGGUCAGACAUUACACCAGUGAAUUAGCACAUCAGAUUUGAGCGAGAAAGAAAGAGCUGGGUUGUGAAACCCUGGAACCAGCUGAACUGGAAGUUUGUGUAAUUUCCUUCCUGCUCAGAGACUGUUCCAUGCAGCACCAGGAGGCAGAGAGGAGACCUGCUGCUUUCCCUGGUGGCCCCUGGAGGCCCUCCAAUAUUCUAACUGCAUUUUCUGAUUCUCUGCUCUUCCUACAUUAACACCUGUCCCCUCACCAGAGAGAAGUUUCCCUGAGAUUCUUAAGAGUCAUGGCACAGAAAUAAGUAUGCUUAUCCAUUUAUUCAUGAAUUCAUUUAUUCAUUCAGACAUUUAGGUAUUCACUCACAGAUUUCUUGAGUGCCUACCAUUCUAGGCACUAAAGAGAUGAUGUUGAGAAGAGCAGGUAUUGUCCAUGUUGUCGUAAAACUGACAGUCGUGAACAGACAUUCAGAAAAUCAGCCUGCCAAUAUAUAAUGGACGCAAUUGCAGUAUGAAGGGAAAUCAGAUACUAUGCGAGAAGGAGCGUGAUGCAGAUUGAGGUCUAACUUAGAUUGGUGAUUCUGAGGAACCAGAUGCUUUACGUAGUCUCAGGUCUUCAGUAAACUUGUAAAGUGGCCGCUAUGAUGACCAUUGUACAGACAGAGAAACUGAGGCUUAGAGAGACUCAGGGACUGGCCUAAGGCUACACUAUUAGUAAGUUCGGAGCAGGCUACACUCUCUGCCACACUGCACAGCCCACCUCCUACCUUGGCACACACUAUGCCUCCUUCCACCUGGAGAGCUUCUCUCUCUCCAUGCUUCCUUUGUUGGGUUCACGGUCUGCCUUCGGUGUCUAGUUGAGGGCCCCCUUCUCUCUGGAACCUCAACACAUCUCUUGUUUCCUAAGCUUCUGCAAUCAUCGUCAUGCAUUACUCAUGUGCUGCUGACCCUGGGACACCUUGUAAAGUUAAUGCUCCUUUUUUACAUGCUUGCCCUGUUGCCCUUGCUCGCAGUCCUGUGAGCAGCACAAGGUCAUUAGAGCAGACAGAGCUGGGUUCUUCUCUGUCCCACUUGUUUGCUGAGUGACCUGGAAAACAUUGCCUAACCCCUCUAUAGUUUCUUUGAAGAAAUACAUUUAUUUCUUGAGCUAUAUCUUAAAACAUGUGCCCUGGUACUGAACAGAUGGUAAGUGCUCCAUCCUUCUUCGUCUUCUACGCAGUUCCAUUCCCUGGAUCAGAAGCCUAUGGAGGGCAAGCUCCAGGCCUUCUCCUUUACCAUCUCAGCAACUAGCACAGUGGUCUGUAGUAAUAGGUAUAUCAUCGUCAUCUAAUUAUGGCAGUAACAGCCCUUACCUCCCUCCUGGGUCCUUCACUCCUAGUCAAACUUGUUUUCUUCUGUCUUCCUUUCUUUCUCAACUUAGACUCCUUUAAGCCUCCCCUUAAACUUGAUACUCUGGCAGGAACAGGUGCCACUACAUGCACAGUCUCUCUCUUCCAAAUCCACACUGUCAUCUUAGGAAGAAAAUAACUGAAAUAGUUCACUGGAGACCCAACAGAUGGUCAGUGAGGGGAAACCACUGACUGGAAAGGCCGUUGAGCUCCCCAUCCUCCCUACCACCUAGAGCCAUAUUUUACAGACUCUCGUCUCUAAGGGAUGCCAGCAACUCAUUUCCAAAGAUCGGGGAAUGUUCCAGCUUACUUUGUCUCUUGCCCUCUUCGUGCCUGCCUGCCUUCAUCUCUUCAGUUACCCAACAUCUACUGGAUACUAAAUAGUUGCUCAGUGCUGCUCCACAGCUGGAUGGUAUUAUACUAAAGCACAGAGAAAGUGCUGGGGGCACCCUAUGGUGAGAGAGAGAGAGGGUACAAGUACAAAGGGAAAGAAAAGACUGUGCUAACACUUAUUGGACACUGGAUCUGCACCGCCAUGUGCAGUGUCACAGUGAUUCCUCCCACCACCCACGUGAGCAAGUAGGGGUUUCUGCUGAAGGAACGGAGACUCACAAAAGCUGAGCAACUUGCCAGAAGUCAUCUGUUGAAAGAUGCCACAGGGCAAACUGCUGAAGAGGGAGUUUCUGCUGAUAAGCUAAAGUUGGAAAAAAUGCUCACAUUGGAUAAAAGGCUUCAAAUGAGUGCAGGUCCUAAUAAUUUCACUGAUUUCAACCUGCAGCACCAGUUUUCUCUUACAGGUGUGAGCUGCUCACCCACUCCGCAGUUCUAAGACCUCACUGUCCUGACCAGUUGUACACUACCUAUGACCUUCUCCCCUGACACGGCCCAAUCACAACCCCACAGCCUCUUGGCCAUGAGUCAUUUUAACAAAAGUGCAAACUAUGCGAUGAGCCAUGACAACAAUGUGCAACCCUAAACUCCAAUGAGUGUUUUUCUACAGUGUGGAAACAGGUGGAAGAAGAGAGUCCAGGGCAGAGAGAUGAUGACAAGGCCAAAGAAGGACUGGGAGUCAGCCUGCUGGAAGUUCAUGAUCAAGGCCUCAGGGGCUGAGUCAGAGGUUGCCCCUGGAGCCUGUACAGUAUGUGGACGUCAGUUAGAGAAAUGCUGCCAUGUACUUCUCUAGAAUCAUGGCAUUUGGAAACCAUCAGAGAACACUGGUUUGGGUAGUUUUCAGACUGAAUCCUUUGGGAAGGUCCCUGCAUAGCAAAGAUGAGGGCGAAUGGACUCCCAGCCCUUCCAAAAUGCCCUCCUCCCCUGCCAAGGUGUUUUCUUCUGCAGGAUGCCAGAUGAGAGGGCUGAUGGAGGCUGGAAUCCAGUCCCCACUCUGCUACCCAAGCUCUGUGCCUGUGGAGUUGCCCCAGCAGAGAGGGCAACUCUUCCUGAUGUGCACAAAGUACGGAAUGGGAGAGUGGUAGCUUUGCCCCCUUCCUGCACCCAACCACACAAACACAAAUAUAUACACACAUAUAGCCACACAGACAUACCCGCAGACUUACACAUACAUGCAUGUACAGAUUUAUACAAACCCACAGGCAGACAUAUAUAUGUGUUACAUGAAGAACACACAGACGCAUACAUACACACAUGAAUACAUCAUAUAUAUCGCACACUUAUAGACACACAUAAAUGCAAAUUAGACCACAAUAUAAUCCCCAGAAAUGUAGACACAGUUAUACAGACACAAAUAUAGUCAAGCUGAUAUAGACCCACAGACAUACAUACCACACAAAUACACAUACAUACACCCACAGCCUCAUAGCCACAUAUACACCACACAUGUAUAAACAAACACAUUUAUACAUAGACGGACACAACACACAAGCAUACAGAGCAUACAGAUACACAAACACAGACACACACAGAUGUGUAUACAUACACAGGUGGGCACACGUACAUGGAUCUUUAACCAGAACAACUCUGCUGUAUCAAUUUUACAUGAUAAAGUCUAUUUUUGAAAAAAAUUGUGAUAAACAUUUCACUCCUAAAAAA